rnacentral:misc_RNA from 1 species
UGAAGAACGUAGUGAAAUGCGAUACGUAAUGUGAAUUGCAGAAUUCAGUGAAUCAUCGAAUCUUUGAACGCAUAUUGCGCUCUCUGGUAUUCCGGAGAGCAUGCUUGUUUGAGUAUCAGUAAACACCUCACCUCCCUUUUCUUUUUUGAAAUUGGAGCUGGACUUGAGUGAUCCCAACGCUUUCUUCCAAGAAAGUGGCGGGUUGCUUGAAAUGCAGGUGCAGCUGAACUUUUCUCUGAGCUAUAAGCAUAUCUAUUUAGUCUGCCUAAAAAACAGAUUAUUACCUUUGCUGCAGCUAACAUAAAGGAGACUAGUUCUUGUGCUGACUGAUGCAGGAUUCACAGAGACAGCUUCGGCUGACUUUGUAAACUCGAUCUCAAAUCAAGUAAGACUACCCGCUGAACUUAAGCAUAUCAAUAAGCGGAGGA